GGCGGUAGGCAUUGGUAAGAAGGGGUUAAGAGGAUGUGUGUGGGGGGAGGAACGCCAUCACCUCCCCCCAGUGAGCGAAGGGUGGUCCGUUAAAGGACUCCGGGGGGCGUGGCCCUGUCCGAAGCCUAUGGAGGUGAGGGCCAAAGGCACGCCCCAGAGCGGUGACCCGGGGAGCUCCUAGUCGACGUGCCUCGGCAGGAGACUCCCCGAUAUAGUGUUAACCCUUCCCCGUGUCUCCAGCAAAUGGGCUGGAGCCGGAUAGUCGAUAGGACCAAUCCCUAAGCCAAUGCCUCUCAUUCCUGAAUUCAAUAAAGUUGUGGCCUAAUUCGCCCAAUUAACCUU